UUACGGCAAUAAAAAAAGAAAGAAAGAAAGAAAAAGAAAAUCAAAGUCUUCUUGGCAGGGCAAAGAGCCUGUUAGGACACCUUUCAUAAGACCUCAUCUGAUUUGUUUAAGCAUUUGUUCCUCCUCCAUUCCACUCAUGCUAAAUGUUAGAGAAAAAGAAGUUGUUUCUAAACAUCAAAAACUGGCAGCUCAGGAGGACCAUGGUAGAAUAAAGAGCUCAAUAUGCAGUGGCCCAAGAUGAGCCCAGAGACCCUGCUUCCUUCCAGUGCAGGUGGAAGAAGCCAUGAGCAGGCAUGGACCCAAAUGACCCAGAUCAGAAAUCAGCAAACUGGAAGGACCUUCAAGAGAUUACCUGGUUUUGCUUCCUUCAGACAUGAGACUAUCUAAACUCUCUAAUACAAGUAGCUUUCUGUUUCCCUUUCAGAAUGGUCAGGUCUGAAGUUCUGUAACAGAGGCAGUAUGUUAGAGCAAUGCUACUCAAAAUCUAGUCAUCAGGUGCAAACUGAUGCUGGUCUGGACAGUACAGAAAUUGAGAGUAAAUGGUUAGAAGCAGUUAUAGCAAUUUGACAGUAAUUCUAUCGCUGUUGAAUAUAAUAGUAAUAAUAAAUUAGGCCUUGUAUUUUGUGUGACUUUUUUGUUUUCAUUUCAUUGUUGUUGUAUUUUACAAAAUUAUUAGUCUACAAUGGAUUUAAAAUGAAGGGGGGAAGAAACCUGAGCCUUCACCCCAGCUUGAAAAGCAGUGUAUUGGAGUACCCAUCAUCUUAACCAAAAAGAUACUUUUGACUCAGCUCUCAAUGGCAAGCAACGAAUGACACCUUUCCUUGGGUUCUACUCUUCUGACUUCUGCUUGUCAAUUUCCACUUGCUGGGGAAGAGGCUUCCAUUUGAAGUCAGAAGUAAGCAAAGGGGACUGGAAGGUGUUCACUUCUCUCAACCUCUUUUGAAGGAGCAGCAGGAAGAAUUGAAGCAGCAGGAAGAACCAGAUGUGCAGGAAAGUAGUUUGUAAGAUUGAAUCCAAGCAGCAGUAGGCCUGCCCCUUCCCCCAAGAGAAGCAGCCUGAUGAUGACGAUGACGAUGAUGGUGAUGAUAGCACCAAACCCUUACUUAAUCCUUUACAGUUUUAAACAUGCUUUCAUGCGUAAUUAUUUUAUUUUAUCUUCACAGCAAACUUGCUGUGACUUUCCAGGUAAGGAAACUGAGGCCUACAGACAGUUAAAGUGGCUUUCCCCAAAUCACACAAGCUAGUGUGAAGGGGCUUCCAUGACACAAAUGAAAAUAUUGUCUUCCUAUUCUUAGGCUUUUUAUCACUUCUUUUACUUUGUAAUGUAUCACAACAACCUAGAUGUAAAAUAAUGGAGCUGGAAUUGACUUCUCUUCAUCCUCAGCAGUGUUGUUACUUUUCCAUUAUUUUUCAGUUACCAGAUUUUUAUUUUUGACAAAAGAAUAGCAAAGGUAAAAGCAAAGUAUUUUGUUCCACUCCUCGCAUAGAGUUUAGAAGACCAGACAACAGACUUGCCAGGAAAUCACUAUUAGAAUAAACCUGGAACCAUAACCAUCACAGAGGGAUAUAGCCAGUGAGGUGAUUCUCUGAGCAACUGCAGCAAGCUUGCAAAAUGCAAUUACCCUGAGCAUGAGAUCCCUGCCUAGUUAUGCCUCUGAUGCACGUGAUAUUCUACCUGGUAUUAUAGUUGCCUCUCUGUGUCUUAUUUUCCUUCCAAUAUGAUAAGUUUCUUGAGGGUAAAGCUGCAUGUUUUUCGGUUCCUCCUCCCUACCAACGAUUCCUCCUAACCCCUGCACUUCCUAAUGUUUGUAUUAUCACCACCAUUUAUCACCUGCCCUUGACAUCCACCUUAAACAGAUUUCGCCUGUAUAAAACUGAUAGGAAAGGUUAGAGAAGUUUCUUCACUCUAAUUUGUAUCAGGCCCCACACUUCUAGGGAUGGCCUUUUUUCUUAGUCUCUACAACUUUCUUAUAACGAUACUUUCCCAACUAUAUAACCUCUUAAUUGCCCAUGGGAGAGAGUUAAAUAAUGAAAAAAAGAGAUGAGAGAACAAAGAAUUUGUUUCUGGUAUGAUCUCUGACCUAAGAAAUAGGAUGCUUUGGCACUUACCUGGUAGAUAAGUGGCCAGCCUCCCAUGAAGGAAACCUCUAGUAAAUGACCUCCUUCCAUCAGGGAACUCUCCCCACAGCAACGCUUUGCAGUGGACACUCAUCAUUGUAGAGAUAGAAAUUAUGCCAAUAAGAAAUUAUUAUAUAUUUUUUCAGUAUGGAGAUUUCUCAAAAAAAUUAAAAAUAGAAAUACCAUAUGAU